rnacentral:rRNA from 1 species
CCCCGGGAGGGGAGUGAAACAGUACCUGAAACCGUGCGCCCACGAGCAGUCGGAGCAACUUUACGUUGUGACGGCGUGCCUUUUGUAGAAUGAGCCAGCGAGUCGCUGGCGCGGGGCGAGGUUAACCGAAAGGGAGCCGAAGCGAAAGCGAGCCUUAACAGGGCGACUUGAGUCCCGCGCCGCGGACGCGAAGCCGGGUGAGCUAUCCGUGGGCAGGCUGAAGCGGGGGUAAGACCCCGUGGAGGGCCGAACGCACGUCGGUUGAAAACGGCGGCGAUGACCUGCGGAUAGGGGUGAAAGGCCAAUCAAACCCGGAGAUAUCUCGUUCUCCCCGAAAUAGCUUUAGGGCUAGCGUCGCGCGUUCACCGCCGGAGGUAGAGCACCGGAUGGACGAGGGGGCUUCGCCGCCUACCGAAUCCAACCGAACUCCGAAUGCCGGCGGCCCAGAGCGCGGCAGUCAGAGCAUGUGGGCUAAGCUGUGUGCUCGAGAGGGAAACAGCCCGGACCGCCCGCUAAGGUCCCCAAGUUCCAGCCGAGUGGCAAAGGAUGUGCGUCCGCCCAGACAACCAGGAUGUUGGCUUAGAAGCAGCCAUCCAUUCAAAGAGUGCGUAACAGCUCACUGGUCGAGUGGACAUGCGCCGACAAUACACGGGGCUAAGCUGGACACCGAAGCGGCGGGAUUUUGAUUUUCAGAAUCGGUAGGGGAGCUUCCCAUGGGCGGAGAAGCCGGAGGGCGACCGACGGUGGAGCGCAUGGGAGUGAGAAUGCUGGCAUGAGUAGCGAGAGACGAGAGAGUAACUCGUCCGCCGUGAACCCGAGGUUUCCUGGGCAAGGCUAAUCCUCCCAGGGUCAGUCGGGGGCUAAGGCGAGGCCGGGAGGCGUAGCCGACGCGCAGCAGGCAGACAUUCCUGCACCGCGCACGCGGCGCUACGACCGACGGGGCGACGGAUGGGGGUGGCUCGGCGGGGUUCUGGACGUCCCCGUGAUGGAGCGCGGCCCGCGGACCAGGGAAAUCCGGUCCGCAGAAGGGCGAGGCUCCGGACGAAGCGAUUGAGCGAAGCGAGUGAGCCCGAGGUCCCUAGAAAAACCCCUAGGCAGGCGCGUGCGCGCCCGUACCGCAAACCGACACAGGUGGGUGGGUAGAACAUACCGAGGCGAUCGGGUCAACCAUGGUCAAGGAACUCGGCACAAUGGCCCCGUAACUUCGGGAGAAGGGGUGCCCGCGCGUACGUGAACGGACUUGCUCCGGGAGCGGAGGCGGGCCGCAGUGGAGAGGCCCAAGCGACUGUUUACCAAAAACACAGGACUCUGCAGAAGCCGCAAGGCGACGUAUAGGGUCUGACGCCUGCCCGGUGCCGGAAGGUCACGCGGAGGAGUUAGCGCAUCGCGCGAAGCCCCGAAGCCAAGCCCCGGUAAACGGCGGCCGUAACUAUAACGGUCCUAAGGUAGCGAAAUUCCUUGUCGGGUAAGUUCCGACCUGCACGAAAGGCGCAACGACUUGGGCGCUGUCUCGACCAUGGACCCGGUGAAAUUGCACUGGUCGUGAAGAUGCGACUUACCCGCGGAAGGACGGAAAGACCCCGUGAACCUUCACUGCAGCUUGGCAUUGGCCGCUGGUCCCGCGUGUAGAGGAUAGGCAGGAGGCACAGAUCCGGAGGCGCCAGCCCCCGGGGAGCCGCCCUUGGAAUACUGCCCUCGCGCGACCGGCGUCCUAACCCGAGGCCGUCAACCGGCUCGGGGACCGUGCCAGGCGGGCAGUUUGACUGGGGCGGUCGCCUCCUAAAGGGUAACGGAGGCGCGCGAAGGUCCGCUCGGGACGGUCGGCAACCGUCCUUUUGAAUGCAAGAGUACAAGCGGGCUUGACUGCGAGGCCCACAAGCCGAGCAGGUGCGAAAGCAGGCUCUAGUGAUCCGGCGGCCCCGAGUGGGUGGGCCGUCGCUCAACGGAUAAAAGGUACUCCGGGGAUAACAGGCUGAUCUUGCCCAAGAGUCCACAUCGACGGCAAGGUUUGGCACCUCGAUGUCGGCUCAUCGCAUCCUGGGGCUGGAGCAGGUCCCAAGGGUACGGCUGUUCGCCGUUUAAAGCGGUACGCGAGCUGGGUUCAGAACGUCGUGAGACAGUUCGGUCCCUAUCCUCCGUGGGCGCAGGAGAAUCGAUGGAGGCUGCCCCCAGUACGAGAGGACCGGGGUGGACGCACCUCCGGUGAACCGGUUGUCGACCAACGGCACGGCCGGGUAGCCGCGUGCGGCGCGGAUAACCGCUGAAGGCAUCUAAGCGGGAAGCCGUUCCAGGGAUUAGUUCUCCUUCCGGUAAGGGCCCAGGUAGACUACCUGGUCGAUAGACGGCAGGUGCAAGGACGGCGACGUCCUCAGCCGAGCCGCACUAAUCGCCCGAGCUCUUCCGGAA